AUACUACUCCCUCCGUCCCAAAAUUCUUGUCUUAAAUUUGUCUAAAUACGGAUGUAUUGAGUCACAUCCGUAUCUAGACAAAUCUAAGACAAGAAUUUUGGGACGGAGAGAGUACUCC
rfam:Triticum aestivum genome assembly, contig: Triticum_aestivum_CS42_TGACv1_scaffold_433178_5DL